AAUUUCUGACUUGAAAUAGGAAAUCGGCCACGGUUUCGUGUGUUAGUAUUUUCUAUUCUGGUCAUCCUUCCAAUUUUCACUAGUUACUAUUCUUCAUUGAAUCGGUAUAUUAGUAUUGGAUCUUUUACUUUGAAAAAAUUAGAGUGUUUAAAGCAGGCAUAUUGCUAUGAAUACAUUAGCAUGGAAUAAUAAUUUAGGACUUCGGUUCUAUUUUGUUGGUUUCUAGGACUGAAGUAAUGAUUGAUAGGGAUAGUUGGGGGUGCUAGUAUUCAGUGGCCAGAGGUGAAAUUCUCGGAUUCACUGAAGACUAACUUAUGCGAAAGCAUU
rnacentral:rRNA from 1 species